rnacentral:rRNA from 1 species
GCAUCCAACGCGUUGGGAGCUCUACCAUAUGGUCGACCUGCAGGCGGCCGCGAAUUCACUAGUGAUUCGUAUUACCGCGGCUGCUGGCACAGAGUUAGCCGGUGCUUAUUCUCCCGGUACUGUCAUUAUCAUCCCGGGUAAAAGAGCUUUACGACCCUAAGGCCUUCAUCACUCACGCGGCAUUGCUGGAUCAGGCUUGCGCCCAUUGUCCAAUAUUCCCCACUGCUGCCUCCCGUAGGAGUCUGGGCCGUGUCUCAGUCCCAGUGUGGCUGAUCAUCCUCUCAGACCAGCUAAGGAUCGUCGGCUUGGUAGGCCUUUACCCCACCAACUACCUAAUCCUACGCGGGCUCAUCCCUGGCCGAUAAAUCUUUGGUCCGAAGACAUCAUCCGGUAUUAGCAGUCAUUUCUAACUGUUAUUCCGAAGCCAAGGGCAGAUUCCCACGCGUUACGCACCCGUGCGCCACUAACCCCGAAGGGUUCGUUCGACUUGCAUGUGUUAGGCAUGCCGCCAGCGUUCGUUCUGAGCCAUGAUCAAACUCUAAUCGAAUUCCCGCGGCCGCCAUGG